UCUCCGUAGGUGAACCUGCGGAGGGAUCAUUACAGAGUUCAUGCCCUACCGGGUAGAUCUCCCACCCUAUGUUAUUAUUACUUUGUUGCUUUGGCGGGCCGUUAGGCUCCGGCCCGACUACCGGCCCCGGCUGGUGAGCGCCCGCCAGAGGACCCAAAACCCUGAAUAUUAGUGUCGUCUGAGUACUAUAUAAUAGUUAAAACUUUCAACAACGGAUCUCCUGGUUCUG
rnacentral:misc_RNA from 1 species